GUUCUAGGGGAUUGUUGGCGCGCCGUCGGCUAGUUUCGGAACCACAUGACAUAAUGGUGGGUAGAAACAUUUCCUCAGUUGAAAUACUCAGUUUGUUUUACAAGCCAUCAGAAAAUAUGCAAUUUCCGAUCAGAUGAGCGCGAGCGACCGAAUCACGAAAUAUGGGAACGGAAAUAAUGCAUGAACAGCUGGCUUAAAGGGGCGAAGGAGUAAGUGGCGACAAUGAGCAUCGAAAUCAGCAGACCGUUAUCACACAAGUUGUAGAGAUGAUAGUCGCCGCUGCGUGAGUGACCUUCAACGCGAGUGUGAGCAGCACACUUUAAGAUAGAUUCACGGCAUAUGUAGAGAUGCUAAGAAAUUGCAGUAUCAAUAGCAAUCUCGGUUUUGCCGUCGAUUGAAAAACGUGGUAAUGGUAUCAAUGAUUUUUUUUCCUGUCACUUCUACAGCGCUCGAUGAUGAAACUACAACUGGACGGUCGUACAUUAUACGAUUUAAUUUCACCUGACACAUUUAUCAACUGUUGUGUUGUUGUUGUUAACACAGUUUCUACGAAAGACCAUGUAGUCUUCCGAAAAAUGUGCGAGAAAGAUCAUUAUCGGUUAGUUGGAAGUAAAUUGGCGCAGGGCGUAGAAAUUAUAUCACUGGAAUAUACAUAUAUAACGUAACGAUUCCAAUGCAAAUAUGCAUGACGUUUCUAUACUAAAUGGUUACAGCAGGAACAAUCGCAUCGCUACCAGGAUUGCACAUG
rnacentral:lncRNA from 1 species